AGGAAUCUACCUUGUAGUGGGGGAUAACCUGGGGAAACUCGGGCUAAUACCGCAUAAUCUCUUUGGAGCAAAGCGGGGGAUCUUCGGACCUCGUGCUAUAAGAUGAGCCUACGUCGGAUUAGCUUGUUGGUGGGGUAAUGGCCUACCAAGGCGAUGAUCCGUAGCUGGUCUGAGAGGACGAUCAGCCACACUGGGACUGAGACACGGCCCAGACUCCUACGGGAGGCAGCAGUGGGGAAUAUUGGACAAUGGGGGAAACCCUGAUCCAGCAAUGCCGCGUGUGUGAAGAAGGCCUUCGGGUUGUAAAGCACUUUCGGUGGGGAAGAAAUUCUCAAGGGUAAUAUCCUUGGGCGUUGACGUUACCCACAGAAGAAGCACUGGCUAACUCUGUGCCAGCAGCCGCGGUAAUACAGAGAGUGCAAGCGUUAAUCGUAAUCAUUGGGCGUAAAGCGCGCGUAGGUGGAUAUUUAAGUCGGAUGUGAAAGCCCUGGGCUUAACCUGGGAAUUGCACCCGAUACUGGGUAUCUUGAGUAUGGUAGAGGGAAGUGGAAUUUCCGGUG
rnacentral:rRNA from 1 species